rnacentral:rRNA from 1 species
AUACGUAGGUGGCAAGCGUUGUCCGGAUUUAUUGGGCGUAAAGCGAGCGCAGGCGGUUCUUUAAGUCUGAUGUGAAAGCCCCCGGCUCAAACGGGGAGGGGCAUUGGAAACUGGAGAACUUGAGGGCAGAAGAGGAGAGUGGAAUUCCAUGUGUAGCGGGGAAAUGCGUAGAUAUAUGGAGGAACACCAGUGGCGAAGGCGGCUCUCUGGUCUGUAACUGACGCUGAGGCUCGAAAGCGUGGGGAGCAAACAGGAUUAGAUGCCCUGGUAGUCCACGCCGUAAACGAUGAGUGCUAAGUGUUGGAGGGUUUCCGCCCUUCAGUGCUGCAGCUAACGCAUUAAGCACUCCGCCUGGGGAGUACGGCCGCAAGGCUGAAACUCAAAGGAAUUGACGGGG